CUCUUCCUGCUCCACCAUUGAGGACUUUUUGAAUCAUUCUUUGUCUGGAACCUCCCCCUUGACCUUGCCGCCAUGGGUGGCCCUACCAGGAGCAUGAGCUCCAGACGGCAUCACUCUUGGGGUCAUUGGAGCAUGCAAGCCUCUCCACUACAACAAAGUGACGAUCCUCAGAGAAGAAUUACACAGUAUGAAGCAAUUGUCUAACAGUUAGAAAGCGCCCUCACAAAAGAGAGUACCUUUGCUGGGAAAAAGUGCUGUUGGAGGCACAAACCCUGGUGAGGACUGUUCUCAAGCUAAAGAUGAUUUAAGAGAUUCUUCAGAGGAAUACAAGUCUAAAAAUGACUGCAUUACCUUUCCAUGAAUCAAGAAAAUUUAAGAAGACUAAAAAAAUAGAUAAGAAAAAAAAUAUAUCAAAUUAAUCUAUGAGAGGAACUGGUAGCUGCAGGGAAAAUAACAAUACUUGACAUUUUGGGCAAAUUAGUGCCAGAAGGACAAAAAUAUUUAACAUAAUUCCUUGAAGAUACACGGGUCUUGUUUUUUAAAAACAAGAUUAUAGUUUAUCUACAGAUGAAGAAAAUGGAAGCUUCUUGUUGGAGGAAAUUUUAUCCGUUAAGCAACAAGUAGAUCAUUAUCUCAAGUAAGAUCAUAUAUAUCGUUACUGAGAAAUGAAAAGUCCCCAGCCUUGAUUUUAUCUCCCCAGAAAUCUUCAAGGAAUUCAUUGCUUGGUAGUACCAAAUUCUGACCAAAAAUUUUAAUGCAAUCAUUUUAGAAGGUAUUUAUCCAAAGUUUUUGAAUGAAAACAUAAUCCCAGUUUUUAAAAAUGGUAAUGAGAGAUCCCUUGUUUUAUUCUCCCAUUAACCUUAUGUGUACUCCUGCCAAAACACUUGGGAGACUUUUAUUUUUUCACCUUCAGACAUGCAUCUCUGACAAUAUUUUGGAAGAAGAGCAGGCUGGUUUUAGAGAAGGCUAUUCCUAAAUGGACCAUUGUUUGGCAUUCUAUUAUCUAGCAUCUAAAUAAGUUAAAAGACAAAAUCAUCUGUAUGUAGCCUUUGUAGCUCUCAAGACAGACUCCAUAGACAGAUUAAAAUUAUGGAAGAAACUGGCAACAUCAGUAAACAAAGCUCUCCUACAAUUAAUUAUCACUUACUAUUCAAACAUAACUUCAGGAGUAUGUUAUGGGAUUGGCAGUGCCCAGUCCAGGGGCAGGGGUAUAGCAAGGAUGUUUGCUUGCUCAGCUACUUUUGAACUUAUUCUUGAAUGAUUUAAAACAGGUUCUAACAGGGAAUCAAUUCCAUGCACCCAUUUGAAUGACCAUCUCUCUCACUUGCUAUAUGUAGAUGAUGCAUUAAUUCUGUCCCAAUCUCAAAUAGGUCUUCAAAGAUAAUUAGAUGCCUUUCAAUAGCAACACAAAUAGCUUAGAAAUCAAUACACCUAAAAUCAAAGUAAAGUUCUUUGGAAAUGAAAGAAGGAAAUGGGAUUGUUUUUUUACAGGGAAAGAAACCUUGUCUUUUUUCAGCAGGCCAUUUGGUUUACAACAUGGAUUGAACAUUUGCACAUGCAACCUGGGACAAACAAGGCUGGCCUCUGUACACAUAAAUAGUUUAAACUACAGGGGGUCUUUUAUUGUUUUCUUUAUCCAGUUUAGGGCUUUUCAAACCAUGAGUAGAAAAAAGGCAAACAAAACUGGUUGACUAUGUGACUAGUAGAAGUGAUUGCUCCUGAAAUAAUGAACAUUAAAGAUGAUCAUUAAGUAAAUAUUUUGAAAUAAUAUUUAGAAACAGCUAAGAAUUUGCAGGGCUCCUUACUGCAUUGUUUAUCAUCUCAUGUCCAAAUCCUGUGUUAUACAUGCUUAUGCAACUCCCUGGGUCCUUCAUCCUGAGAUAGGUCAGUCAGUGAUCAUUGUUAACCUGAAUCCUCUUCCCGUUGAACUAGGAUGAUUAUGUUGUGAGCUGGGGCAAUGUUACUGAUGUGAAAUAAAAUGGACUUCCAGUGAAGUUGGUGAAUACUAAACUGAGGUACCAUUUAGCAAUGACAGAGAAACCUAGAAAACAGUAAUGCUGGAACAGACUUUCAGAAAAUUGUCAGAAAAACUAUGAGUUCACAAUGCCAUAGUUCAACAACAAUGACCAGCUUAGCUUUGGGCUGCAUAUGUUGUCAUUAUGUCAGGUCCCUCUCUGUGGCACACUGGUUUGUACUGCAUUGAAUACUCAGCACCUCAUCGUGAAAUGUAGAGAAACAUUUCUUAGUGAUCUCAAAGGGCCAGUUAUGGGGAAAGAUUAAAAGAGUGAAAUAUAUUUAUAUAGUAGGCCCAUUUCCUCUUUCAGACAAACCAAUUCAAACCCAGAAUAAUACCCCUGAGGUCAACAGAGUUACUUUUGAUUUAGGCUAACGUAAGUGAGACCAUAUUCUGGUUUCUUGUCUACUUUGUUGUUACAGGGAUGAGAGAGGAUCUUAGGAGUCCAUAAAUCACUGAGGAGAAUAAAGAGGAGGAAGAAAAGGCAUUAUUUAGCAAGUGAAUCCUGCUUCCUGAUGGAUGACUCCAAACCUUAUGAUCUUUAUUCUGCUCCAAAGCAAGGCACAUUUCUCCAGUUGUUAGGUCUCUUCCUCAUACUCUUAAAAUGAGCAUGUAUUUUGUAAUCCUCUUCUAACUUGAAGCUUCAGCUUUUGAAACUUGAGCUGUUCUGGGUCCUACAUUCCACCAACCCACCCGCUGGAAUUAUUCCUCUGACUUACACCUCCUACCACAGGAAAAUGUUUAUAGCUCUGUACAUUAAUCAAGACCUAAAUGAGGUUGGAUUGGAUACUAGGACAAAAAUAAGCAUCUUUUAAGUAGCUCAUUGUUUAGAUAGCAAAUUCCCUGCCCCUUAAAAGAAAAGAGUAAGCAUUGCACAGAAGGAUUUCUCAGCAUUAAUGAUUUGCAACAAACAUCUUCAUGAGGCAACGUUAGGCUAAAUGUGUCCUUCAGAUUACCUUAAACAUUGAUAAAUCUCUGAAAUACUAGAGCACAUACACUCUCAUUUUAGAGAGACUGAACAACAAAUAGUAAGAGAACAAACACUUUUAAUGUAUUAAAUAAUAUUAUGUGGUUAAUUAAUGUAUUAAUGGAUAAAAAUUAUAAUAAUGGAGCCUGAAGAAACAAAGACUGUCCAGUCUGCUGUUUGGAAAAUAAAUAUUCUCCUGAUGCUCAUGUUGUUAAGACUUUAACCAAAGUUUUUGUGGCAUGCCACAAUCAGAAGAGUUGAAUUGUAGAGAACAGCAUGUCAAUACAGAUAACAUACUUAAAGCCACAUCCCAAAACCUGAAUGGCUGCCAGUUAGCCGCCUACAUCAUAAUAUACAUUGCUAAACAGCUGCUGAAGGGAUAUUUACUUUGGACCUGGUCACUAUAGUACUUCAUGCAUGACUGUAUACUUAGGGUGAUAAGUACUGCAGGCUGUGAAUACUUACUUCCUUUGGGGAUUGUCACCAUGUUUGCUAUAUAUCAGCAGCAAAUGCAAACAUACUAUUAACCAUGACAAUGCAUUUAAAUGGGAAUGGAAAUUGCAUUAUUCUGGGAAAACCUGCCACACAUAGUUGUGUUUUCAUUCCUGUCAUGCAAUGCAAAACAAUACAGGAAAGUGUGUUCCUUCACGUUUUGUCUGUGGGCAUCAGUGGUGUGGAACUGCAAUACCUCUGCUAUGCAACUGAUUCUGAUGGGAAAAUAUAGUGACUAUUAAUUGUAUUCUUUUAGAUAACAUUAUUCAAAAUAAAAUCUUUUUUAAAACAUAGUCCUAGGCACA